rnacentral:rRNA from 1 species
UGGGGAAUAUUGGACAAUGGGCGCAAGCCUGAUCCAGCCAUGCCGCGUGUGUGAAGAAGGCCUUCGGGUUGUAAAGCACUUUUUGUCCGGAAAGAAAAGCUUUGGGUUAAUACCCCGAAGUCAUGACGGUACCGGAAGAAUAAGCACCGGCUAACUUCGUGCCAGCAGCCGCGGUAAUACGAAGGGUGCAAGCGUUACUCGGAAUUACUGGGCGUAAAGCGUGCGUAGGUGGUUCGUUAAGUCUGAUGUGAAAGCCCUAGGCUCAACCUGGGAAUUGCAUUGGAUACUGGCGAGCUAGAGUGCGGUAGAGGAUGGUGGAAUUCCCGGUGUAGCAGUGAAAUGCGUAGAGAUCGGGAGGAACAUCUGUGGCGAAGGCGACCAUCUGGGCCAGCACUGACACUGAGGCACGAAAGCGUGGGGAGCAAACAGGAUUAGAUACCCACGUAGUCCCUGAGCGGGCUGGCAAGGCGCAU